AAAAGCAGGGGAUCGUAAGACCUCGCGCUAUUGGAGCGGCCGAUGUCCGAUUAGCUAGUUGGUGGGGUAAUGGCCUACCAAGGCGACGAUCGGUAGCUGGUCUGAGAGGAUGAUCAGCCACACUGGGACUGAGACACGGCCCAGACUCCUACGGGAGGCAGCAGUGGGGAAUUUUGGACAAUGGGCGAAAGCCUGAUCCAGCCAUGCCGCGUGAGUGAAGAAGGCCUUCGGGUUGUAAAGCUCUUUCGGCCGGAACGAAAUCGUCCGGGCUAAUACCCCGGAUGGAUGACGGUACCGGAAGAAGAAGCACCGGCUAACUACGUGCCAGCAGCCGCGGUAAUACGUAGGGUGCAGGCGUUAAUCGGAAUUACUGGGCGUAAAGCGUGCGCAGGCGGCUUCCUAAGUCAGAUGUGAAAUCCCCGGGCUUAACCUGGGAACUGCGUUUGAAACUACAAAGC
rnacentral:rRNA from 1 species